rnacentral:rRNA from 1 species
UGCGUAGGCGGCGCGAAAAGUCAGAUGUGAAAUCCCGGGGCUCAACCCCGGAAUGGCAUCCGAUACUCUCGCGCUUGAGGACUGGAGGGGAGUCUGGAAUUCACGGUGUAGCAGUGAAAUGCGUAGAUAUCGUGAGGAACACUAUUGGCGAAGGCGAGACUCUGGACAGUUCCUGACGCUGAGGCACGAAGGCCAGGGGAGCGAAGG